GACGAACGCUGGCGGCGUGCUUAACACAUGCAAGUCGAACGGAAAGGCCCUGCUUGCAGGGUACUCGAGUGGCGAACGGGUCAGUAACACGUGGGUGAUCUGCCCUGCACUUCGGGAUAAGCCUGGGAAACUGGGUCUAAUACCGGAUAGGAGCCAUUUUUAGUGUGAUGGUUGGAAAGUUUUUUCGGUGUAGGAUGAGCUCGCGGCCUAUCAGCUUGUUGGUGGGGUAAUGGCCUACCAAGGCGGCGACGGGUAGCCGGCCUGAGAGGGUGGACGGCCACAUUGGGACUGAGAGACGGCCCAGACUCCUACGGGAGGCAGCAGUGGGGAAUAUUGCACAAUGGGCGCAAGCCUGAUGCAGCGACGCCGCGGGGGGGAUGACGGCCUUCGGGUUGUAAACUCCUUUCGCUAGGGACGAAGCUUUUUGUGACGGUACCUAGAGAAGAAGCACCGGCUAACUACGUG
rnacentral:rRNA from 1 species